AUGGGCACGGACGCGCACCUGUACGACGACCCGGAGGACGCCGCCAUCCCGGCGCUGCUCGACUCCCGCUUCGACGGAGACAAGGUCGACGCGCUCAAGCGCCUCCUCGCCCUCAUCGCCCAGGGGGUCGACGUCGCACACCUCUUCCCCCAGGUGGUGAAGAACGUGGCGGCGCAGUCGCUCGAGGUCAAGAAGCUCGUCUACCUCUACCUGCUCCACUACGCCGAGACGCGGCAAAAUGAAGCUCUCCUUUCUAUUAACAUAUUCCAGAAGGAUUUAUCAGACAUAAACCCGUUGGUAAGGGCUUGGGCCCUUCGCACUAUGGCUGGCAUCAGAUUACACGUUGUCGCUCCACUCGUGUUAGUGGCUGUGAAGAAAUGUGCAAGGGAUCCAUCCCCAUAUGUUAGGAAAUGCGCGGCAUAUGCACUUUGUAAGCUCUACGACUUGCUUCCAGAGGAAAACACAACCUUGGAGGAGAUUGUGGACGUUUUGCUUGGUGACAGUUCCUUUGGAGUAGUGGGAGCUGCUACAGUUGCAUUUAAGUCGGUUUGUCCAAAUUGUUUAGCGCUGAUAGCAAAGCAUUUCCGACGGCUCUGUGAAACACUCCCUGAUAUUGAAGAAUGGUAUCAGAUUACUCUAAUUGAGAUUCUCUUGCGGUAUGUGAUAGCAAAACAUGGAUUGGUCAAGGAUUCUGUAAUGUUUGCUGCAGAAUUGUCUUUGGAGACCCAGGCUGGCAGGGAUUCAGUUCCUGUUAGUAAUAUAUCCAGCACCCAGGCGGAAACUAUUGUUAACGGAGGUUCUGGCACUAUGCCAAACAUUAUGUUGUUCCGGCAUUACAUUGAAGAAUAUUCAGGAGCUUUUGAUAGAGACGAUGAUAAAUUCAGCUUUCCAUCUGUCACUACUAGCACAAAUGAUGAUGUCGUAAUUCUAUUGAAAUGCACGUCACCUCUUCUGUGGAGCCAAAAUAGUGCAGUGAUACUUGCAGCAGCAAGUGUUCAUUGGAUAAUGGCUCCAGCUGAGGAAGUGAAGAGAAUUGUUGGCCCGAUUUUAUUUACUCUACGCUCAUCUCCUGAUGCAACAUAUGUGAUGCUUGGCAACAUACUAGUUUUUGCCAAGACUGCCCCAUUGUUGUUUGCUUCGUAUUAUGAAGAUUUCUUCAUAUGUGCUUCAGACCCGUACCAGACUAGGGCUUUGAAGCUUGAAAUACUCACCACCAUUGCCACAGAGUCAUCUAUUCCAGCCAUUCUUGAAGAAUUUCAGGAUUAUAUUAAAGAUCCGAAUAGGAGAUUCGUGGCAGAUACAGUUGCUGCAAUUGCAUUGUGUGCCCUGAAACUCCCCUCUAUCACCUCCAGUUGUCUUGAGGGACUUUUGGCACUUGUACUGUACGAACUGUCUAUCACUAACUCAGUUCACUUGAAUGAAGAAGAUGCUGUUUUAGUUCAAGCCAUCUUGUCAAUCAAAGAAAUAGUGAAAAUAGAUGCAGCAUCUCAUGAGAAGGUGAUUAUCCGCUUGGUUCGUUGUCUGGAUACAAUUAUGGAGCCUGCCGCACGGUCCUUAAUUAUUUGGAUAUUUGGUGAGUAUAGCUCUACUGGAAAUCUCAUCCCAAAGAUAGCUCCAGUUGUUCUUAAGUAUCUGGCAUGGUCCUUUGCCGCCGAAGUGCUCGAGACAAAGCUUCAGAUCCUAAAUGCUUCUGCGAAGGUUAUCAUACAUUCUGCAGAAGAACGGCUAGAAGAAUUCAAAAGGAUAGUGACAUAUGUCAUUCAGUUGGCUGCAUGUGACAUGAAUUAUGAUGUCCGUGAUCGUGCACGUUUCUUGUCAGGACUUCUGCCAUGCUGUGCUAAUGAAAAUGACUCCUCAUGUCGAGCGCAGAAUGUAGAUGUUAUUAAAGAGCUAGCUGAUCAUAUCUUUGGUGGGAAGAUACCUCCUGCAUCUAAUUCAGACAGCAACUACCGGAUUUAUCUUCCGGGUUCCCUGUCACAAGUUGUUCUUCAUGCAGCGCCUGGUUAUGCACCACUUCCAAAGCCUCAAAGUAUGAUCUUAAUUCAUAAGACCGUAGAACCAACCAGAGGCAUAGCCGAUUCCUCUGAAGGUACUAAUUCUGAUGCUGAAUCUGGAUCUUCAAGAGAUGAGAGUGGCUCUGUGUAUGAUUCAGAAAGUGAAGCCGGUAGUGAUUCAAAUGAUGAUGGCCAUAACCUUCAUCGUCAAAAGGAGAACAAGGAAGCUCCGUUGAUUCAUAUGUAUGAUGGUAAUGUAGAUCAAGCCUAUGCAGGUCAAGCUGUCGAUGAAAAUUUGGCAUCUCUCAUCUCUACUGAUUUGACAGAAUUAAUGUCCAAGUCAGCCUUGGAGUCAUGGCUUGAUGAGGCUCCUGCUGCACCACUUGUUCAGGAUUCGGUACAGACAUCAUGUGCAAGGGUUUCUUUUACCACUCGCAGCUUUGAGAGAAAACCUAAAUUGCAUAGGUUGUUAGAUCCAUCGGAUAGUGAUGGCUUGAGUGUUCUAUAUGCCUUCUCAUCUGAGGUUUCACCCAAAUCACGCUUGCUAGUAUGUGUAGACUUGUUUGUCGAGAAUGUUACAACAGAACAAUUAGCGGAUAUAACCAUUAAAUCUGAAGAGGCUUCUGGUAGCAAGGGUGGCAUGGACCAAACAUCAGAAGGAUCCGCAAGCAUACCAACUCUUGUUCCUGUUGAAGAGAUACAGUCACUGGCUCCCGAACAGACAGCUAAGAUGCUUCUUCAGGUUCACUUUCAUCACCAUCUCUUGCCCUUGAAGUUGUCUGUCCUUUGUAAUGGGAAAAGGCAUCCAGCCAAACUUCACCCGGACAUUGCUUAUUUUGUACGACCACUACCCAUGGACCUAAAUGCUUUUCUAUGCAAGGAAAACCAGCUGAGGGGAAUGUUUGAGUAUGCUAGAAGGUGCACUUUCAAAGAUCAUCUUCAAAAGCACGAGCAGAUCGAAGAGAGUACAGAUCACAACACCGACAAGAACCUUCUGGUAGCCCAAACUCUCGCGUCGAAAGUACUCAGCAACGCCAAUGUUCACCUAGUGUCAAUGGAUAUGCCGGUGACCUUCAGCAUCGAUGACGCCUCCGGUUUGUGCUGGCGAUUCAGCAGCGAGAUCCUAAGUACUUCGAACCCCUGCCUGAUCACUGUCGUGGCGGAUGGGCACACCUCGGAACCACUGGAUCUCACCGUCAAGGUGAACUCCGAAGACACGGCGUUCGGCCUGAACCUCCUGAACAGAGUCGUAGCGAUCAUAGAGUGA
rnacentral:rRNA from 1 species